CGCAUCUGUGCAUGCAGCAUAUCAAUAAGCGGAGGAAAAGAAACUAACAAGGAUUCCCCUAGUAACGGCGAGUGAAGCGGGAAGAGCUCAAAUUCGAAAUCUUAAAGGGUUUCCCUUUACGAAUUGUAGUUUAAAGAAGUGUUUUCUGUUGAGGUUUUGGUAAAAGUUCUUUGGAAUAGGACAUCAUAGAGGGUGAGAAUCCCGUAUUUGACCUUUACUUUCAACUUUGUGAUACACUUUCAAAGAGUCGGAUUGUUUGGGAAUGCAGUCCAAAAUGGGUGGUAAAUUUCAUCUAAAGCUAAAUAUUGGCGAGAGACCGAUAGCGAACAAGUACCGUGAGGGAAAGAUGAAAAGAACUUUGAAAAGAGAGUUGAACAGUACGUGAAAUUGUCAAAAGGGAAGCGUUUGACACCAGUGUUGUUUUUCUGAAAAUCAAUUAAAGAACUGUUUAUGCUAAGUUGUUUAGACUUUAUCAGCUAACUGUUUAGUUUUGAGCUUUUCUUUAAUGCACUUUUCAGUUAACAAGUCAACAUCAAUUUCUUUUGCUGUAAAAAAGCUUGAGGAAGGUGGCUUGAGAUUCGUCUUAAGUGUUUAUAGCCUCUUGCCUAUGCAGUCGGAGAGAUUGAGGUCUGCAGCGUAGAUCCUUCGGGGCUAAAUACAUUUGUGCUAAGUUAUAGCAUUUUAUAGACAACUUGUUGACUAUGAUUUGUCUUGUAGCUUACUCGCUUAUGUUAUUUUACCUACGCUUAGGAUGUUGAACGCGCACAGAGUCUC
rnacentral:rRNA from 1 species